rnacentral:misc_RNA from 1 species
AAGUCGUAACAAGGUUUCCGUAGGUGAACCUGCGGAAGGAUCAUUAGUGAAAACUCUCUGGGGGAAAGGUCUUCCUUUCCUCGGAACCUCUCACAUCCACACACACUUGUGCAACGUUCCGGAGGCGUUCCCCUCUCCGACCACCACGGUCGGGAAGGGAUGCAGCCCUCGGCUUAUAUCUUCAACUCUUGUCUACGAAUGUAUUGCAUACGCCUUAACGGGGCAAAAUGAAAAACAAAA